rnacentral:rRNA from 1 species
UACGGAGGGGGCAAGCGUUAUUCGGAAUUAUUGGGCGUAAAGGGCGCGUAGGCGGCUAGAUGUGUCAAAGGUGAAAUCCCUCGGCUCAACUGAGGAACUGCCUUUGAAACUGUCUGGCUUGAGGCCGGGAGAGGGUAGCGGAAUUCCCAGUGUAGCGGUGAAAUGCGUAGAUAUUAGGAGGAACACCAGUGGCGAAGGCGGCUACCUGGACCGGUUCUGACGCUGAGGCGCGAAAGCGUGGGUAGCAAACAGG